GCGGGAAUCGCCAAGUCUGGUCAAAGGCGCUGGACUCAGACUCCAGUCUCAAAGGAGCUUCGGGAGUUCAAAUCUCCCUUUCCGCA
rnacentral:tRNA from 1 species